rnacentral:lncRNA from 1 species
UUUUUUAAUGGGGGAUGUGGAGAAGAAGCAGGAAUGAAAUAAUGGGCAUAAAAACAGAGAAAUUUGACUAGCAAGUGACAGUAAUCAAUUGUCUUAACUAUUGGACUAAGGUUUAAUGAUUAGAUGCACUGUGCUCUUCCGCUGUGUUCCAUUUUGCAGGCUUCGUCAUCCAGAACUUUCAGCCCAGUAACCUUUUAUCCUGGAUCCAAAUGAGCCACCAUGACAUGCAGAUGUAGCUUCUAAAUCUGGACGAAUGGAGCAAAGUUAUCUGUCUGGGUUUGUAUGCUUUUUGUUCUUUAAUUUGAGCCAACUCAGGCCCAAGUAUGUUUCAUUUGUCACUCCUUCAAAGCAUGGCUCAAAAGCUUUAGCUUGACAUGCAAAUGAGCUUUGUAAUGCUUAAGUUUUGAGCGAACCAAGCAAUCUACAAACAAGUUCGUAUUUGCCUUGUUUGAGUUCUUGAUUUCGAACACAAAAUUAGACUGGUGGAAUAAUUUAGCCGCCCUCUCUUCUCCUCCCUUUCUUAAAUCUGGUCGUAUGAUUCGAUCGUGACCAAAUCUAUUCACACGACAAAAUUCCAUUGAAAAAGAGGACGAAGGUGUUUCGUUAACCCUUCCCUCUUCCCCCACCCCCUCUUCACGUCAUCACCUCCACUUUUCCCUCUCUCUCCUCCCCUUUCAUCCCCCUCCCUUGCAUUUAGAGCUGUUAAGCGUAACGAGCUACUCGAAAGCUCGUUAAGGCUCGGAUCGAUAAGGCUCGAGCUCGGCUCGUUAAUUUCAAUUAACGAGCCGAGCUCGAGCUCGAUAAAUACUCGUUGAGUUAUCGAGCCGAGUAAGCUCGAACUCGAUUCUUUAUCGAGUAGCUCGGUUGAGCUCGACAAAGAAGGGUAUUUGUGUCAUUUUAGCAGUCAACAAGUAGAAAUUUGGACUAGGGUUGAUAUUGCAUCGUCUCAUACUCUCAUUCUUCAUUUCUGCCUCUCCCUCUCCGCUGCACGCCGCACCCAGUAACCCACAGCCGCACCCACAGGCCACAGCCCCGCAACGCCGCAGCUCCGCAACCCUGCAACCCUGCAGCCCGGAUCUGGAUCAACCCUGCAACCCCGCAGCUCCGCAACCCUGCCAGCCCCGCAACACCGCAACCCGCAACCAGUAACCCACAGCCGCACCCACAGCCCCGCAACGCCUCAGCUCUGCAACCCCGCAGCAACCCCGCAGCCCCGCACAACCCCGCAACCCCGCAGCCCGCAACCCCGCAACACCGUAACCCCGCACUCCACAGCAAGCCGCACUCCACAGCUGCAACCCACAGCAACCUCUGCCUCCACUGCCGCCCACAGCCUCUGUUUUCUGCCAUUAACAACCCCGUCCACGGCCAGGGCCAAAACCAGUCCAAUUUGACUGGUUUCUCUAAUCCUUCGUGAUAUUUGGUAAGUCUCGUCUCUUUUCGUAGGUUAAUUGUACUGAAUGACAAGAGUUCAUUCUUGUCUCUUUUCUGGUUUAGUAGCAGUUGGUAAUGUAGUAGUUGACACAUCUCAUAUGUACAAGGAUGGAUCAACAAAUUUUCUUCUCGCGUGAGGACUGCAUCCAACCUCUUUGUUUUAUUCCUUUCUGCAAUAACUUGCAGUUCAAUCAUAGAAAUUUAAUGUGGAAAAUCUAGAUUAUGCUUAUUAAUAUCUGAUAAUUUUAAAGAGUACUCGAAAAGAUAACGUCUGAGUUUUUGCAGUAGUUUUACCUUUUCUUCAUGGAUUUCUUGGGGGGAUGGGGUGGGGAAGCAAGAAGUGUUCUGCUUGUGGGUAUAAUCUGCUGCUAAAUGUGCCUAUAAAUCUUUUCUAAAACUUAAUUAUUAGUACAAUUAGAUAUUGCACUUCAAUAUCUGGAGGAUUGAAAGGGAAGAAAAUAAGUAUGGUUGAUUAAGACUUCUUAUUUGUGAAAUUUGAGAAAAAAGAUGUAAGGAUGUUAACCUUGAUAUCAAAAAAGCCUUACGGACUUAAUUUGGACAGCAUACUUCUUUUUUUUUGGGUAAAUUUUUGAUCUUUUGAAUGAAACAUGUCAAUGUUCGUGAGCUAACUGUUGCACUAUCACAGGGAUUGAUUGGCCUUUCAUUUCAUUUCAUUUCAAUUUCAAAGUGUUUGAUUAGUUUGAUAUUUUCGUCUUGGGGCCAUUUAUGUGUGUGUGAAUUGAGUUAAAUGAAUUGUUGAAUGAAUAAUAUAGGCACUACACCAUAUGUGCCUUCAUCUAUUUUGUUCAGCCUCUCGAACUCAUCAACACUUUUACAACCCUGAAGCAUGUUCACGGCCCUUGGUGGAGGAACUGCAUGUUCUGGUGUCCCGUGGGAGUUGUGUUCAUCAUCAGAACCAGUAUCCGCAUUGCUACCACUGGUUCCACCAUAACUGCGAUCUUCAUCAACCUCCAUGUACUCAUUCCUGUCCAAUUCAUCAGGAUCACUAUCUCCACUAAAGGAUCUAACGCGUUCAUCAGAAGACCUGACCCUAUUUCCCACUGAACCUUCUCUCCUCAGUUCCAUGUACUCAUUCCUUGUGAAGCUGUACUUAUUCUUGUGAUUUCUGAAGGGGUUGUACUUUUUCUUGUCAGGUGUUUGAAGUUGGACAAUUUUUAAGCUAUGUAGCAGUGUUUUACAUGGUUAUUUGGCUGUAGUUUGUGCGUUUAUUUGGCUGGACAAAACCUGUUAUGGUAUAUUGGCUCUUAUGAAUGUUGUUUCAUAUGGAAUUAGACUGUAGUUUGUGUAUUUGUUGACUGCAGCCCUGGAGUUUGUGUUGUAUGGAUCAUGGAUGUUAUGGUCUUAUUUGUCUUGGAUGAAAUGUGGUUAGAGUUUGUGUAUUGUUGAAUGUGAAUGGCAUUGGUUGCCAAUCCUAAUAUUUUUUGUUGAUUUUGGAUAGCCUAAAUCUGGAUAUGUUGGAGCAGGACUUCGUAAAUAACUGAUUGUUGAAUUUUGAAAUCGAGCCUCAAAAUCGAG